rnacentral:misc_RNA from 1 species
GGACGACAAAGAAGAGCGUUCCGCGCGUUCCAUCCGUUGGGGCGGCUUCGAAACCAGGGAACAGUAUUUUCUUUGAAUUGCCAGUCGCGGAGAGAACAGAGCCGAGUUCAGUCGGCGAAGCAGCCGGAUGUGCCGCUGAUCCAGCUCCACUCGAACAAGUCGUUCCAAGGCGACAACGGCAAACAGUCGCCGACCAAAGACAUAUCUUUUUUCUCUUAACUGACGUUUCGGCCUCCUCACGGGAGCAUUGUUCAGGGGAGUCAUGUCGAUCGAUGUAGAGCCAGGGACUUCUACCAUGUCAAGCACGCGCUCCGAAGAUUGGUCCAGUAGUUGGACUUCCGGCACUCAAAGUCGAACGAACACGACCACCGGCACCAUGACCAGCAGCACUUCUGCGGUCCCGUCUGGCCUACCGUAUGGUAUCACGCCACCCGGUAUCACGCCGUCCAGCAUUCCUCCACGCGCUCUAGAGAACGCCAUGUUCUCGGGCCCCGCGCAAAAGUCCCAGCCAAGGCCCCUCACGGAUACAGCAAAGACCUCGGAUUUGAAAGCCCCCUCAGAACCAAGAAGAAGGGAAGGCGCACUGUUGCCAUUCCUCAGUUGCAUCCUGGGCAUCCUGGUUUUGCUCGUUAUUCUCUCCCUCAUUCUGUCGGCUCCUUACGCCGAAACUCCUCGACCUACUGACGCAUCUGAGCGCACGCAGAAGCCGAAUCUCCCUCCCGCACCACCCACGCCCGUAGUGGGUCACGUGGGCGCCCCCUGCAGCGACUCCACUGCUUGCCUGGGCGAGGCCGACUGCGUGGAGGGUGUCUGCCAGUGCCAGGGCACCGGCUUGCGCAUCGUGAAAGGUGUCUGCGUCUAUUCCACCACGCCGAGGACGAUGACGACACGGUCACCGACGAGCUCAACGUCUUCCAGGCGCCCAAGCACGAAGACCCUGCCAUCCAGCUUGCGGUUCUCGUUCGUGCGUACCGUACGCCUACGCACCACUCCAGCUCGUAGCGAGACCGGGGCUGCGUCCGUGACCAAUGAAGACCGCGACCGGCCGAACACCUCGGAGACAGGCGGGAGGGCCCGCAACGAGGCGAUCUCCCGUGGCACCAGGGCGCCCAACGUCACUGCCCAUUGGGAGGAAGAGGAGGAAGCAGUUGGAGAAGCGUGAAGUGCGGGAGGAAUAAACAUUGGCCCGGGACACUUCAAUUCGGCAACUUAACGCGCGCGCAUUUAUGAGCGCCGAAAUGUUGUAGAAUUUGAGUUAUAUGUAUAGCAUAUUCGUAAAUUUUUUUCUUUCUUUUUUAGUAACUGGAUCAAAGACCUGUUUCUGUCGCAGGUCUUGAUUCAGUUUCUGUCGCAGGUCUCGAAAUAAAGAUUAAUUUUGUCGAAA